UACAGGGGGGGUGCAAACGUUUGCUACGGAAUCAUUGGGGCGUAAAAGGUCGCACGUAGGCGGUCUGUUAUGUCGGAAUGUGAAAGCCCUUGGCUCGAACUGAGGAAGUGCAUCCGAAACUGGCAGGCUAGAGUACUAAAGAGGGUCGCGGAAUUCCCGGUGUAGAGGUGAAAUUCGUAGAUAUCGGGAGGAACACCGGUGGCGAAGGCGGCGACCUGGGUAGAUACUGACGCUGAGGCGCGACAGCGUGGGGAGCAAACAGG
rnacentral:rRNA from 1 species